rnacentral:rRNA from 1 species
CGCCGGCGGCAGGCCUAACACAUGCAAGUCGAGCGCGCCCUUCGGGGUGAGCGGCGGACGGGUGAGUAACGCGUGGGAACGUGCCCUUUUCUACGGAAUAGUCUCGGGAAACUGGGGGUAAUACCGUAUACGCCCUUCGGGGGAAAGAUUUAUCGGAGAAGGAUCGGCCCGCGUUGGAUUAGGUAGUUGGUGGGGUAAUGGCCUACCAAGCCGACGAUCCAUAGCUGGUUUGAGAGGAUGAUCAGCCACACUGGGACUGAGACACGGCCCAGACUCCUACGGGAGGCAGCAGUGGGGAAUCUUAGACAAUGGGCGCAAGCCUGAUCUAGCCAUGCCGCGUGAGCGAUGAAGGCCUCAGGGUUGUAAAGCUCUUUCAGGGGGGAAGAUAAUGACUGUACCCCCAGAAGAAGCCCCGGCUAACUCCGUG